rnacentral:tRNA from 1 species
UCUUUGAUGGUCUAACGGUCAUGAUUUCCGCUUGUCAUUUGGCAAAGCGCGGGAGACCGGGGUUCGACUCCCCGUCAGAGAG